CUUGACAUACACGAGAACGCUGCAGAAAUGUAGAACUCUUUGGACACUCGUGAACAGGUGGUGCAUGGUUGUCGUCAGCUCGUGUCGUGAGAUGUUGGGUUAAGUCCCGNAACGAGCGCAACCCUCGUUCUAUGUUGCCAGCACGUUAUGGUGGGAACUCAUGGGAUACUGCCGGGGUCAACUCGGAGGAAGGUGGGGAUGACGUCAAAUCAUCAUGCCCCUUAUGUCUUGGGCUUCACGCAUGCUACAAUGGCCGGUACAAUGGGCUGCGAUACCGUAAGGUGGAGCGAAUCCCAAAAAGCCGGUCCCAGUUCGGAUUGAGGUCUGCAACUCGACCUCAUGAAGUCGGAGUCGCUAGUAAUCGCAGAUCAGCAACGCUGCGGUGAAUACGUUCCCGGGUCUUGUACACACCGCCCGUCAAGUCAUGAAAGUCGGUAACACCCGAAGCCGGUGGCCUAACCCUUGUGGAGGGAGCCGUCGAAGGUGGGAUCGGUAAUUAGGACUAAGUCGUAACAAGGUAAGCGUAGUGCU
rnacentral:rRNA from 1 species